UCUAAGUUUCAACUCUUAUAACAUUUGUGUGCACAACAACUAGCAGUCACAUGAAAAGAGAAAAAAUAAAAUAAAACCGAGACUUGUGGUUGUUGACACACAGAUAUAAAACCUAAGCUUAUGAACCUAAGAGAUUACAUUUUGCAAGUACAAUGAAUUCAUUAGAAUCUCUCCACAAUGUUGAGAGAGAUGUUUUCUAUAAGCAAUUAUCAUUCCAUACUUUCAUGUUUCUCAGAAGAAGAGAGGUUCAGAUAACUAUAUAUUUCAUUAUUAUUAUUCUUCGGUUAUCAUCAAACUUUUGAAUCAGGUUCAGGAGUGGAAGAAGAAUCAUUCAUGACCUGAUUCUUCUUCUUCUUCUUCCAUCUUCCUCCAUUUCUUCACCAAAGCAGAGACCACGAAGGAGAAAACAAUGGAAUCCAACAAAACCAGCUACAAGUUUAUUGCAUCAGUAUUCCAUUAUCAUUGAUGAACUUCUUCUUCUGCAGAAUCUCCACAAGGGAUUAUGAUCUUGUUUUAAGUUUUCAGCAAAUUCAAAGACUGGGAAUGUCUUCCAUUUUCUUCUUCAUUGUAAAGUGUAAAAGAAAAAGAAUACUGAACAAAGAUUCCCAGUUGGAUGUCUUUUACUGUGUUGGGUCUCUAUUAGCAUCUUUGUUCCUCGUAAUUGUCAAAGAAGAUUGCACAUGUCCCAAAUGGCAAAGGAAAUUCAAGAAAGUUAAAGAAAAUUCCACGGUUUAAUUUUAGACGUGUGGAAACUGUAUCAUACAAAAUCACAUGAAUACAUAUAAGAACUUUAGUUUAAUUUAACUUCUCAUACACAAACAUUGUAUCAACGAAUUAAAAACAAAAUUCUCUUCAUUCUAAAAGUCACAUUUUUUUCCCGUAACGGAUACAUCUGAUAAUAUU